GCCUACGGGUGCCAUCCCUGGUCCGGACUGCCGGAGGGAAUAGUUGCCUUUUUCCAUUUCUCUUGGAAAAUCAGCGAUUUCUGUAUGUACCAGCGUCAAAACGCUUGAUGGAAACAUUUCAUCUCGAAUAAAGAACCCCGCUACACUUCGAUCCAUCUCCGCGAGAUCUGCCGUGUUCUCCCCUCUGCCGACUCCCGAUAAGAUCCCUUUCUCCACCGAUCCGGCUCCUCGGCGAUGGUCGUCUGCAAAUGCCGCAAGGCGACCAGGGUUUACUGCUUUGUCCACCAGGUUCCGGUCUGCGGUGAAUGCAUCUGCUUCCCGGAACAUCAGUUAUGCGUGGUAAAAAACUAUGCUGAAUGGGUUGUUAAUUCUGAUUAUGACUGGCCACAACACUGCUCACACUGCAAUUUGGUUCUGGAAGGUCCAAGUGAAGAAACUACACGAUUGGGUUGCCUCCAUGUGGUACACACAAAAUGCUUGAUAUCACAUGUCCAAAGUUUCCCAACGAAAACAGCACCAGCAGGAUAUGUCUGCCCCUCAUGUUCAGUACCUUUAUGGCCUCCUUCAAGUAUUAAAGAUACAGGUUCUAGCCUUCACUCUAAACUGAAGGAAGUAGUAAUCCAGACUGGAUUGGAGAAGAAUGUAUUCGGGAACCAUUUUGUGACAAUGCCUAAAGCUGAUGCUCGCACCCCUCCUGCAUUUGCUUCCGAUCCUCUUAAGCAUCUGCCCGGUUCUGGUGAAUCUAUUGGUGCAAACACAAUUAACUCUCUUAAAGAUGCAACUGUACCAUCAGUGUUACUUUCCAAGGAGGAGAAAUAUCCUGCUGGAAUGUAUUCAUCUGGGACAUCUAGUCACGUGGAACGUGAAAUAGUUGAAAUGGAUGGUCCUGCUCCUAUAACAACUCAAUUCACAGAACAGGAGCCCAAUUUCAUCAGAAGUCCAAGCCCACAUGGGCCCGGUGCCACGACAAGAAAAGGUGCUAACUAUGUUGAGAGGCAAAAUUCAGAGAUGUCUUAUUAUGCUGAUGAUGAAGAUGCAAACCGCAAAAAGUAUACUAAAAGGGGUACCUUCCGUCACAAAUUUCUUAGGAUGCUGCUACCUUUCUGGUCUAGUGCAUUGCCAACAUUGCCAGUUACAGCACCCCCUAAAAAAGAGAAUGAUGCUCCUGAAGGCCGCUCACGACAUCAGAGAUCAUCAAGCAUGGAUCCAACAAAGAUCUUACUUGCAAUGGCAAUCAUAACUUCCCUCAGACGGCUGUAUGGUUGCACUAUCUUGCUGCUCCCCAUGUAUCACAUGCUGCUCAUCACCACCACCCUGCUGUCUCCUGGUAUAUACUUGGAGGUUUCUUUCCUCAUUCACCCUGCGCCACUGUUGUUGUUGCUCUUGGGCCUGACCUUGAUCUCGCCCCGCUGCUGGAAUCAUACCAACUAUCGGUUGUUGUUGUUGCUGCUGCAUUUGAGCCUGCUCAACUUGCUCCUUCUAAGCUUAUUCAACUCUCAUCUCCCCCUCUUGACCAAUCUCACUGAGCUGAGGAUUGUCAAGAUCCUGAAACAGCAGGCUGAGGUCAGUCUUUUCACCAUACAAAGGUUCAGACUCUCUAAACGUAACAUCCAUACUGACAAUGACAAAGGUUCUCCUUUCAGUGGGACUCCAACACUUACAUCCUUGCUGCCCUGGCGAGUAGCCAAUAAAGAUGCACUUGAUGGCGCGAGGAUCAAGUUUGUUCACUGAGGGCCUGUGAUCUCUAACAAAACAUGUGCAACCAAACAAUUUCGGUGGCACAAUGAAGUUAUUCUUUGGAUAAAUCAAUUCACAGGGAGAUUUCAUGCCUGUCACCCUGAUGGCAUACGGCUUAUCAAGGCAUGUGUGGCAACGAUGGGAAUCCUCUAUUACCGGUUGUCACAGCGGAGUCUUUUUUCUGAAAACUUUGCCGACGACGAGCCUCAAUAGUACAGUUGAAACUUUGGACCAUGCAGUUUUAUGUCUAGUACUGCUUUGCUGCUGAUUCAAGGGUUUUACCCUCCCUGUAGCCCUUUUUGGGGUUCGCUAGUUACAUGAGUUAAGUAGACCGAAACACCUAAUGGAGUUCGGGCUAUACGGGGUCUGAAAUUUAAACUGUUUCUAUAGGAUCGUUCGUGUGGUUUUGUAACUAUGAAGCUGUUAUAUUGGUAUGUACACCUGAUGGAAAGCCAUAGAAAAUUGUGGUCUACCUUGUGUUCAUAUUAUGGCAAGAGAGUAACUGUCUGUUCUUACUAAUUGACGACUGGAGACUGCACUGUGAUUCCAUUUAAUUUC